rnacentral:rRNA from 1 species
UACAUGGGGUGCAAACGUUGCUCGGAAUUAUUGGGCGUAAAGCGCGCGUAGGCGGUUACUUAAGUCGGAUGUGAAAGCCCUCGGCUUAACUGAGGAAGUGCACCCGAAACUGAGUAGCUAGAGUACGAAAGAGGGUCGCGGAAUUCCCGGUGUAGAGGUGAAAUUCGUAGAUAUCGAGAGGAACACCUGCGGCGAAGGCGGGUUGCUGGGCUGACACUGACGCUGAUGCGCGAAAGCCAGGGGAGCGAACGGG